UCUCUCCAUCGAUCUGGCUUUUCUCUCUCAGUUAUCUCUCACAGGUUCUCUCCUCCCCAUCAAUUCUCUCUCUGAGUUCUCUCUCAGUAAUAACCCUAAAUCUCACCUCCACCUCAUGAAACACCAGAGUAAUUUCAGCCUUGUCUAAGAAUCACAUUAACAAACACCAAAGCAGAGAAAUGGGGAAGAGCCGGGAGAGGAUGUUUGAUGGUGAAUGAAAGGGAAAGUGGACGACUUGGGUGAGAUGAACUUCCUUAUGAAUUCCUGCUCUAGUUUAGCCCCAAAGAUGUUCCUCGGCAGAUCAGUGAGGAAGAUUGUUAACCUGGAUUAGGCAGAUGCGCAUGUUUUGAUGAACAAGGCAAUGAUUGAAUGUCAAAGCCAUAGACUCAUAGUUGAGGGUCCUGUAACUAUUUGUGCAUUGCUCGAGGAACACUAUUACGAUCAGUUGGCAGCUCAGUUCAUCUUUUUGCUGGUUUUAAUUUAUUUCAUUGUCUGUAUGUUGGUUUCCACCUAUUAUAAGAAAAUACAUCUUUAAGAACCUAAAAUGGUGUGAGUUUAGUAGUUGUGUUGAAUUUUUUUGGAGUUUUGAGCCAAGUGUUAGCUCAAUUCACUUGUGAAUUCAGUUAAUAUUGUACAAUAAAUUUCAAAUUUUGAAUCCAACGGUGAAUGUUCUGACCAA